rnacentral:sRNA from 1 species
CAUCUUUGUACAGCUUCCAAUGGCCCUCUUUUACUGCCCUAAUUGGAGUUCGAGCUCGAAUCGAAUCAGGAGCUUACAGCCUCACUUUAACAAAGUCACAAAGAAAAAAGGAGGGUAUGGACAACAAGAAAAACGGCCCAGAAAUCCACCCCAUUUGCACAAUAUACCUUCUUGAUUUUGUUUUCAAGCCAGAGCAGCAGUGUGGCCGUCUAACCCUCGGAAAUAUACCGAAAUAUACCGUCUCAUUUUCAAAAUAUGCCGAUGAAAUGCCGAUACCGAUGAAAAUGAAAAGGAACGAAAAUAUUACUGAUUGUAAAUUCUUCUAGCAGAUCUUUGCUAUGAACUUAAAAAGAACCACAAUAUCUUUCACCAGACCUGCUCUUAAAUUUUCAUUAUUUUCGGUGGAAUAUUAAUAUACCCCGAUUGUCUACAAUGGGUUAAUCGUAUAUUCCUCGAUUUUGAUAUUCGGCUUAAUAUUACAAGCUAGGACUUCCAUUCCGGGAUGAUAUUCGUAUGGAAACGAAAAAUGCAUGCCGUAUUUUAUUCGACAAAAAUUGUAAUAGCAGGU